AGAGGCUUGAGCUGAAACCGAAACUGAAGGGGCUGGAAUGGUUCUCCAACGACAGGGCUAAUGGUGCAUUUACAUCUGAACAGGCUGUGAUCCUGCACCUCAGUGCCUCGGAGGAAGGAAGGUUGACGGAAGAGGAGUUGGUGAAUCGGUUGGAUUUGGAGCGGCGCAGGAAAAACAAAACGUAAAAAAAUAUAGGAUUUGGAAAAGGCGGAUUUUGGCAUAAACUGGUAUGUGAAUGGUUCUGGUGGAAAUGGAGGUAGAAAUUGAGGAAGGUAUGGAUUUUGAAGGGUAGUUGCCAGUGGGGAGAGGAAGAGGGAGAGGACGUGGAAGAAAUGAAACAGAUGAAGGAAAGAGAAGUCAAGGCAGUAAACGAGAACUGGAAGGAAGUAGUUCGGAUGAAGAAAGGAUAGUUAGGAGGAAACUUGUGAGGGAGGAAUUUAAAAUAAUAUUAAAACUUAAAAAUGAGCAGGAACAGGAUAACAUCAGCCCCAUUGUGGUGUCAAGAGAAAUAAAAAA